GCGGCGCGGGCCGCCUGCGAGGACUUUGCGGGAAGGGUGAAGUGCCUGUGACACCGGGACGCUGCGGACGGAGGGGAAACGCACCGCGGCCCUCUGACCCCGGCUGCUGGCUCCGCCAUUUCCAGACGCCUUGUCCGCUUUUACGAGCCCUGUGUGUCUUUGCAAACGCGUGUCCCUCUGCUUGGAAAGUUGCCCACGCGCCUCCGCGCUCCUGGCGAGCUGCUGGCCGGCCAUCCUUUUAAGGACACCGUCUUUGCCCUGCUGGAGCAGCUGCAGCCCUCGUGGAGCCCUCGUGGCCCGGUUCCCGCGGCGAUGGCCCGUCCAGGCUGCUCCUGGCGCUGGGACGCGGGAGUCCGGCUCUGUCCAGCACUUUCAGGUGGUCUGGUCCCGGUGCCUGGCUGUCAAUGCUCCUAUGUACCGAGCCGCCCCAGUUACUUGCAGCCUGGGUCAGUUGUGUGAACUUGGUUCACGUAAACAACAGCCUCUUCAACCUUAGUUGGACGUCGAGUUGGGAACUGAAACUUGGUGUGUCCAGAGCCAUUUUCGCUAUUUCGCCUCUAAACCUGCUCUUUGGUCCCCACCGGUGACCACUGAGUUCCUGGUAACCUACAGAAAACAUAAAUCCCUCCCCCAUCAAAUGUCUUCAGCAAUAGAAGCUCUCAAAUUUCCACACUGAAGGGGAUAAGGAGUAAUGAUCUGAUUGGAAAGGAGUCCAGGAGGAUUGGGGGCUUGUCCAAAGCUAUGUUUCUAGCAGGGCCGGCACUGUGACGCAGCGGGUUAACGUCCUGGCCUGAAGCGCCAGCAUCCCAUAUGGGUGCUGGUUCGAGACCCGGCUGCUUCACUUCCGAUCCAGCUCUCUGCUAUGGCCUGGGAAAGCAGUAGAAGAUGGCUGAAUUCCUUGGGCCCCUGCACCUGCGUGGGAGACCCAGAAGAAGCUGCUGGCUCCUGGCUUCGGAUUGGCGCAGCUCCGGCCGGCCGUUGUGGCCAUCUGGGGAGUGAACCAGCAGAUGGAAGACCUCUCUCUCCCUCUCUCUGCCUCUCCUUCUCUCUCUGUGUAACUCUGACUUUCAAAUAAAUAAAUCUUUAAAAAAAAGAAUGUCUGCUUUUGAAACAUGCUUUGAAGAGAAUGGAUAAGUCAUAGACUGGAAAAAAUAUUCAUAAAUCACAUAUCUGGGAAGAUAUUAAAAUCUCUUACAAUUGAAAAUAAGAGAAUAAAGAAUUUUGUGAAUGGGUAAAAUAUGAUUUGACACUUCAUCAAAAAAGUCAGAUGGAUGGCACCUAAGGUCAUGAAAGAUGCUCAGUUGUCUGUCUGGUUGUUAGAUAGAUGUACACUGAGCCUACAGUGAGUUCCUACCGCAUGCCUUGAGGAUAUCUAACAAGUGUUGGUGAGAACAGUUAAGAUCUAGGACUCUCACUCACUGCUGGUGCAAAUGUAGAAUGAAACAACCACUUGGACAAAUAGUUUAGUAGUUUUUUAAAAAGUUAAAACACACACCUACCGAACAGCACGGCCUUCUCACUCCUAGGCAUUAAUCCAAAUAAAAGCAUAUGUCUACACAAAGACUUGUAUGUCCAUGUUGAUAGGAGCUUUAUUUGUAAUAGCCAGAAACUGCAACAACCUAAAAGUCCAACAAUGGGUGGAUGGACAACAAAUUGUGGUAUAUUAAUACAAAGGAGUACUAUUCAGCAGUAAAAAUGAAAAGCUGUUGAUAUGCUCAGCAAAAAUUAAGCCUGACCACCCCCAAUCUGGACAAAAAAACCACAUAGUGUGAUCCCAUCUUCAUACAAAUCUUGAAAACCUACAGUGACCAAAAGCAGGUCCAUGAGGGAUUCCAAAUGGGCAAGAGACUUUUGGGAGUGAUGGAUGUAUUCAUUCUCAUGUUGGUGAUUUCAAAAU